UGGGGAAUAUUGGACAAUGGGCGCAAGCCUGAUCCAGCCAUGCCGCGUGAGUGAUGAAGGCCCUAGGGUUGUAAAGCUCUUUCACCGGUGGAGAUAAUGACGGUAACCGGAGAAGAAGCCCCGGCUAACUUCGUGCCAGCAGCCGCGGUAAUACGAAGGGGGCUAGCGUUGUUCGGAUUUACUGGGCGUAAAGCGCACGUAGGCGGACUUUUAAGUCAGGGGUGAAAUCCCGGGGCUCAACCCCGGAACUGCCUUUGAUACUGGAAGUCUUGAGUAUGGUAGAGGUGAGUGGAAUUCCGAGUGUAGAGGUGAAAUUCGUAGAUAUUCGGAGGAACACCAGUGGCGAAGGCGGCUCACUGGACCAUUACUGACGCUGAGGUGCGAAAGCGUGGGGAGCAAACAGG
rnacentral:rRNA from 1 species